rnacentral:tRNA from 1 species
GUGGGUACAGCUCAGUGGUAGAGCGCGUGCUUAGCAUGCAUGAGGUCCUGGGUUCAAUCCCCAGUACUUCCA